UUGAAUCAGUCGAGCAACGUGCUUGCUUCACUCAACGUUUCUAAUUUCUUUUAGGUUAUUAUUAAUUUUUUUUUUACUUGUAUAAUGACGAAAAUUGUUAUAAAUAAAUUUAAAUUGUUAAAUUAAACAAUAAAAAAAUUAUAGAGUUAGUACUAAUCUCUUGGCUUACUGAGAACGAAACUAUGUGUUUGUGGCCACCAAAAAAAGAUGAAGACAAAAGGUGAAUAAAUGGGUUGAACUUGAAAUCGUGCCUUUCAUGACAUGGUUAAAAUAACCAAUCAGAUUAUCAGCUAAGCUAAGGAUUAUAAUCAAGGAUCACGCCGAUUAAAAAAUCCUUUAAAACAAAUGAUGUUGAGAGCACUGAGAGUGAAUCUAUGAUUGAUCUAAAUACUGAGCCUAUGCUCUUGUAGUAAUUCCUUCCAACGACAAUUUAGAAGGAACCUGAUAAGAGCGAUGAAGCUGCGUGUGAAAGUAUAAUGGAACCUAAAGACCAGUACAUUUAGCUUUUGAAACCUAAAAAAUUAUAGUAGGAUGAAACCCAUUGGAAAAGAAAGAGAAUACAACGAAAAUGAAAGGAAAAAUAAAUGUCGGGAAGUGAGGGGUUAUGGGGAUAAAAACGGCUUAUGUCGAUUUCUGGCUAAACUACAAGUCUUACGGAAAUAAGGCAUCACAAACUACCUACGAACAUCUUGCGAAAUAUUUGCAGCGUAUUAUUUGCACUCAAAUGUCUAAAG